rnacentral:rRNA from 1 species
CCUACGGGAGGCAGCAGUGAGGAAUAUUGGUCAAUGGGCGAGAGCCUGAACCAGCCAAGUCGCGUGAAGGAUGAAGGAUCUAUGGUUUGUAAACUUCUUUUAUAGGGGAAUAAAGUGAGGAACGUGUCCCUUUUUGUAUGUACCAUAUGAAUAAGGAUCGGCUAACUCCGUGCCAGCAGCCGCGGUAAUACGGAGGAUCCGAGCGUUAUCCGGAUUUAUUGGGUUUAAAGGGUGCGUAGGUGGUUAGUUAAGUCAGAGGUGAAAGUUUGCGGCUCAACCGUAAAAUUGCAAUUGAAACUGGCAGCCUUGAGUACAGGUGAGGUAGGCGGAAUGCGUGGUGUAGCGGUGAAAUGCAUAGAUAUCACGAAGAACUCCGAUUGCGAAGGCAGCUUACUAAACUGUAACUGACACUGAUGCUCGAAAGUGUGGGGAUCAAACAGGAUUAGAUACCCGGGUAGUC